UCGAACGAUGAAGGGAGCUUGCUCCUGGAUUAGUGGCGAACGGGUGAGUAACACGUGAGUAACCUGCCCUUAACUCUGGGAUAAGCCUGGGAAACUGGGUCUAAUACCGGAUAUGACUCCUCAUCGCAUGGUGGGGGGUGGAAAGCUUUUUGUGGUUUUGGAUGGACUCGCGGCCUAUCAGCUUGUUGGUGAGGUAAUGGCUCACCAAGGCGACGACGGGUAGCCGGCCUGAGAGGGUGACCGGCCACACUGGGACUGAGACACGGCCCAGACUCCUACGGGAGGCAGCAGUGGGGAAUAUUGCACAAUGGGCGAAAGCCUGAUGCAGCGACGCCGCGUGAGGGAUGACGGCCUUCGGGUUGUAAACCUCUUUCAGUAGGGAAGAAGCGAAAGUGACGGUACCUGCAGAAGAAGCGCCGGCUAACUACGUGCCAGCAGCCGCGGUAAUACGUAGGGCGCAAGCGUUAUCCGGAAUUAUUGGGCGUAAAGAGCUCGUAGGCGGUUUGUCGCGUCUGCUGUGAAAGACCGGGGCUCAACUCCGGUUCUGCAGUGGGUACGGGCAGACUAGAGUGAUGUAGGGGAGACUGGAAUUCCUGGUGUAGCGGUGAAAUGCGCAGAUAUCAGGAGGAACACCGAUGGCGAAGGCAGGUCUCUGGGCAUUAACUGACGCUGAGGAGCGAAAGCAUGGGGAGCGAACAGGAUUAGAUACCCUGGUAGUCCAUGCCGUAAACGUUGGGCACUAGGUGUGGGGGACAUUCCACGUUUUCCGCGCCGUAGCUAACGCAUUAAGUGCCCCGCCUGGGGGAGUACGGCCGCAAGGCUAAAACUCAAAGGAAUUGACGGGGGCCC
rnacentral:rRNA from 1 species